rnacentral:rRNA from 1 species
UAGGGAAUCUUCGGCAAUGGACGAAAGUCUGACCGAGCAACGCCGCGUGAGUGAAGAAGGUUUUCGGAUCGUAAAACUCUGUUGUUAGAGAAGAACAAGGACGUUAGUAACUGAACGUCCCCUGACGGUAUCUAACCAGAAAGCCACGGCUAACUACGUGCCAGCAGCCGCGGUAAUACGUAGGUGGCAAGCGUUGUCCGGAUUUAUUGGGCGUAAAGCGAGCGCAGGCGGUUUCUUAAGUCUGAUGUGAAAGCCCCCGGCUCAACCGGGGAGGGGCAUUGGAAACUGGGAGAGUUGAGUGCAGAAGAGGAGAGUGGAAUUCCAUGUGUAGCGGUGAAAUGCGUAGAUAUAUGGAGGAACACCAGUGGCGAAGGCGGCUCUCUGGUCUGUAACUGACGCUGAGGCUAGAAAGCGUGGGGAGCAAACAGG